CUUCUGUGGCAGAGCUUAACGGAGACCUUGCACCCGAGAAGGGGAGGCGACUAUAAACCAACUCCAGCGCAAGUCAGCCCUGCUGGCAACACAAUCGAAUUGCGGGGACGCUCUAAGGCUCAUCGGUACCAACUGCCCCUCGAGGGGUAGGGCUAGCUAUGCUAGAGGUCACAACCCGGUGAGAUGCCACAAUGAGCAAUCCGCAGCGGCCUUGAGCCGUCCACAGACUAAGUGGUUGUGGGUAGGAGGCCCCUACUUAAGAUAUAGUCGGGCCCUGUAGGUUGCUACAGGGGUUCUGCGUCCGUAGGUGAACCUGCGGAAGGAUCAUUAUCAGGUUAAAGGAGCACCGGUGUGAAAGCUGGUGUCUACCGAACCCGUGUCUAUAUACUCUUGUUGCUUUGGCAGGCCGUGGGAAACCACUGCGGGCUUCGGCUUGCAAGCGCCUGCCAGAGGACCAAACUCUGAAUGUUAGUGAUGUCUGAGUACUAUAUAAUAGUUAAAACUUUCAACAACGGAUCUCUUGGUUCUGGCAUCGAUGAAGAACGCAGCGAAAUGCGAUAAGUAAUGUGAAUUGCAGAAUUCAGUGAAUCAUCGAAUCUUUGAACGCACAUUGCGCCCCGUGGUAUUCCGCGGGGCAUGCCUGUUCGAGCGUCAUUAUAACCACUCAAGCCUGGCUUGGUAUUGGGACACGCCCUAACCGGCGGUCCCUAAAAUCAGUGGCGGUGCCUGUAGGCUCUCAGCGUAGUAAAAUUCCUCGCUAUAGAGUCCUGCGGGUUCCCUGCCAGAACCCCCAUAUUUUUUCAGGUUGACCUCGGAU
rnacentral:misc_RNA from 1 species